AAACCUAAAGAUAGCAAAGUAUAAAACUCUAUCACUCUCUUCACUUUACAAAGGAAACCCUUUCUGAAUAAUUUGCCAUGUCUCUGAAAAUGUUUCAAAUUUUGGUGUCUGCUCUGCUGUUUACAGCUUCUGUGUCGAGCGUCCUUGGAGCACCCUUUCUGACAGAAGAACCAGCGAAUCAAUUCAUGCGGCUCAAGCGACACAUUCCAUGUUCUCCCAGCUACUGGGACUCCAGCAGCAGCCAGAAGACAUGGGCACACACCCUGGCUGAACAGGUAUCUUCUCCCUUCCUCCUGCAGCACCUACUGAGAAAAAGAAAGCAUGGGUCUGGAAUUAAUGUGUAACACAAAUCCUUUGGGUCAAGAGAAGACAUUUUUCUGAUUUAUCGACAUGUGUCGGAACUCAAAAUGUCCCUCAGACAUUUUUGGAUGUUCCAGGCCCAGGUCAGAAGCAUUUGAGACCCUGGCAGGCAGCUGGAAACAGCUGUGAUUUUGGGUUUGAGCCAUGGAACGAUUUACCAACCUUGCAGGAAGGACAAGAAGUCACAAAUGCUUAGAUAUUAGAGUAGAAGCAGUCACAAAGUAGAGGGAAGAAUUUUUGAGUGCUGUACAGGGGGGUUUUGGUUUUGUACAUGGGAGUCAGAGGGUUUAAGAUGGAUUUGGGAUUUGGGCCUGCCCUGUCCUCCCUCUUUGUUCUUCCUUACCUCCAUGUUCUUGGUGAUGUUGGCACUCACAGAUUGGUUUAGAGUAGAAAGGCACCAUUUAAUAUAGGUAAUAGGCAUUGGGGAAAAACUGUAAACAUGGAACACGUAAUGUACCAUAUAAAAGAUAGAAAAGCACCACUUAAUAUAGGUAAUAGGCAUUGGGAAAAAUUGUAAACAUUUACCAUGUAAUGUACCAUAUAAAGGAUAGAAAAGCACCAUUUAAUAUAGGUAAUAGGCAUUGGUGAAAAACUGUUAAACAUGUAACACGUAAUGUACCAUAUAAAAGAGAGCAGCAGCCCUGGGUGGGAGAGAAGAAGCAGUCAGAUUCAGAGAGGAUGUCAGGGUGUGUGUGUGCCUCUGCCUGAGCUGUGAGCAAACCACAGCAGCCCCAGAAGAAAAUCUUUUAGAUAACUUGCAAUAAAUCACCAUGAGACUGAACA
rnacentral:lncRNA from 1 species